rnacentral:rRNA from 1 species
AUGAGAGUUUGAUCCUGGCUCAGGACGAACGCUGGCGGCGUGCCUAAUACAUGCAAGUCGAACGCUUCUUUCCUCCCGAGUGCUUGCACUCAAUUGGAAAGAGGAGUGGCGGACGGGUGAGUAACACGUGGGUAACCUACCCAUCAGAGGGGGAUAACACUUGGAAACAGGUGCUAAUACCGCAUAACAGUUUAUGCCGC